GCCGGGUGUGGUGGUGCACGUCUGUAAUCCCAGCUACUCGGGGGAGGCUGAGACAGGAGAAUCGCUUGAACCCAGGAGGCAGAGGUUGCAGUGAGCUGAGAUUGAGCCACUGCACUCCAGCUUGGGUGACAGAGUGAGACUCUGUCUCAA
rfam:Homo sapiens chromosome 3, GRCh38 reference primary assembly.